GUGGGGAAUUUUGGACAAUGGGGGCAACCCUGAUCCAGCCAUUCCGCGUGAGUGAAGAAGGCCUUCGGGUUGUAAAGCUCUUUCGGCAGGAACGAAACGGUGGUCCCUAAUACGGAUUGCUAAUGACGGUACCUGAAGAAGAAGCACCGGCUAACUACGUGCCAGCAGCCGCGGUAAUACGUAGGGUGCGAGCGUUAAUCGGAAUUACUGGGCGUAAAGCGUGCGCAGGCGGUUCUAUAAGACAGAUGUGAAAUCCCCGGGCUUAACCUGGGAACUGCGUUUGUGACUGUAGGACUCGAGUGUGGCAGAGGGGGGUGGAAUUCCACGUGUAGCAGUGAAAUGCGUAGAGAUGUGGAGGAACACCGAUGGCGAAGGCAGCCCCCUGGGUCAACACUGACGCUCAUGCACGAAAGCGUGGGGAGCAAACAGGAUUAGAAACCCCUGUAGUCC
rnacentral:rRNA from 1 species